rnacentral:rRNA from 1 species
CCUACGGGUGGCAGCAGUGGGGAAUUUUGCGCAAUGCUCGUAAGACUGACGCAGCGACGCCGCGUGAAUGACGAAUGCCUUCGGGUCGUAAAGCUCUUUCUAUAGGGAAGAAAAUGCCUAUAAGUAACUAUGUAUGUAUUGACGGUACCUAUAUAAGUAGCCCCGGCUAACUCCGUGCCAGCAGCCGCGGUAAUACGGAGGGGGCGAGCGUUGUUCGGAGUGACUGGGCGUAAAGAGCACGUAGACGGUGUUGUAAGUCAUUAGUCAAAGACUAGAGCUCAACUUUAGUAAGGCUAGUGAUACUGGCAUACUAGAGUACAGGAGAGGAAGGUGGAAUUCCUGGUGGAGCGGUGAAAUGCGUAGAUAUCAGGAGGAAUACCGAUGGCGAAGGCGGCAAUCUGGAUGGAAACUGACGCUGAGGUGCGAAAGCGUGGGUAGCAAACAGGAUUAGAUACCCUAGUAGUC